rnacentral:rRNA from 1 species
UCUACGUGAGGCAGCAGUGAGGAAUAUUGGUCAAUGGGAGAGAUCCUGAACCAGCCAAGCCGCGUGAGGGAAGACGGCCCUAUGGGUUGUAAACCUCUUUUGUCGGAGAACAAAACCCGGGACGUGUCCCGGACUUCGUGUAUCCGAAGAAAAAGCAUCGGCUAACUCCGUGCCAGCAGCCGCGGUAAUACGGAGGAUGAGAGCGUUAGCCGGAUUUCUUGGGUGUAAAGGGUGAGUAGGCGGUCCGUUAAGUCAGCGGGAAAAUUGCGGGGAUCCACCCCGUCGAGCCGUUGAAAAUGGCGGACUUGAGUUGGCGAGAAGUACGCGGAAUGCGCGGUGUAGCGGUGAAAUGCAUAGAUAUCGCGCAGAACUCCGAUGGCGAAGGCAGCGUACCGGCGCCAGACUGACGCUGAGGCACGAAAGCGUGGGGAUCGAACAGGAUUAGAUACCCCUGUAGUC